ACCUACAGCCAAGCUACCCUGAACAAGCCUGAUCCCAUCUGAUCUUGGAAGCUAAGCAGGGUCGGGCCUGGAAGUAUUUGGAUGGGAGACCACCUAAGAAGACCAGGCACUGUAGGCA
rnacentral:rRNA from 1 species